CACAAAUAAACAAGUCUAAAUAAGAGAACAAAAGUUUAAAAGUUAGAAUUGGGCCUUUCUGGGCCCUUCAGUGGGCUGUCCAUCUUAUGGACUUUUAAGUCCAUUUCCCUGCAAUGUAUAUCAGCUGUAUACAGACGGUAUAUCAGUUUGGCUGUUGCUGCGUUUUUGUGUAUAUACUGGUCAAAUAUAUACAUAUUUUUGCCUUCCAACCAUAUAAUCAGCUUCCUUUUCCAUGUCCCCUUUUCCUAGCCUGUAUAAUGGUGUAUAUCUGUUGUAUACCAGCACAAAACAGUCCCCUUGGGACUUGAAUCUGAGGUUUUGGGUCGACGCAAAUCAGAUUCAACUCAACGGAAUGUGAGGGAAGGGAUUCCGAGAGACUCAACGGAGGAGUUCAUGCAUAAAAGGAGAGAUAAUGGUUAGAAUUGAGAUUUCGCAUCAUAAGGAUAAGCCAAUCAAAGAAAAAGAAGUAAAUAGCGCACUUCAAUCUAAUCCGAACAUCAUAAUGACUUAAUGUAUAAGCAAAACAUGUGUUGACAAGGAGGCUUUAAAAAGGAAGUAAAAAUCACUUAAGCACCACACAAACUGACCAUAGCAAGGACAUGUUAGUUCACUGUUAGUACUAUUCUUAGGAUAUCAACACAUUACCAAGAUGACGAUUCAAUAUAUUGAAUUAACUUUAGACACUUCAAGCAAUCAUGCUAAACUUUAAUCAAGCAAUCAUAGGGGAGCACUAAUCGAUCAUGUUAGGCUUAGUCGAGGGAGAAGGAUAUUCAUGUAAGGUAGGCUAGAAUGUCACAAGUUGAGGCUUGAGAUUCCAAACAACUAUAAUCCAAACGAUCAGUCUACCGCUUAAUGCACUUUACUAAUUUAAGAGAAAAGAAAAAAAAUUAUCACUUUAAUAAACUAAACAUUAAUACCACAUAAAAGAUGGCAAGCAAAGUUCCAGAUCACUGCAACCCUUCAGAAAAUACAUAAGGACAACAUUGAAUAAGAUAAUGAUUAGAAUUAUUUUUCUUUUUUUUAAAAAAAAUAAAUAUAUAUAGACCAUAUUCAAGCUGUCCAGAACAUAGAACUUUACUUAUUCCAAGUUUUGGAGCCUUUGAUACUAUAAACCAAAAGACUUGACAAGCUUCCAAUUUUUUAAAAGGUAUUUGGAUCAAACCAAGACAGGAAUUAAUUAGACCAAUUCAAGUAAAUAAUAUUUCUUCGAACUCGAGGAAUAUUUUAAAACAUAACCUAAGUUCUAGUCAAUGCUCAUCUUAAUUCAAGAAAAAUUAUAAGAGUGCAGCAACAUGUAAGUCAAGAUUUCACAUUUCUCCCCAACGCCAAGUACUCAAUCCGAAAGAAACAUAAUAGUUGUAUUCCGCCCCAAAACAGAGAAUGAAACAGAAACCUCAUUUUUUGGUCAUUUGAAAAUCCUGAACAUUGGAAUAUACCAUAGAAGACCAUCAAAGCUUAAAGCUUUUCAACUUCAUACAUCCACAACAGAGUUCUAUACCUUCUCAAUCCCAGGAGUUUUCACCAAAAAUCAAACACAUAUUACACAUAAAAGACCAACCAAUUUUCAUCGUUACUAUGAGAUCAUGACAUAAAGAAAGAAAAAAAAAAAGAGAUUUUCACCUUCUUUGGAGCAUCCAGAUGGGACAAAACUAGCUCAGAAAAAUGUCCAUCGCAGUUUCGAUUCGCUACUGAAAUUCGAACAACUGUCGAUGAUUUUUCCUGGUUACGUAGGCUUAGAGGUGCGCACCUCCACAACCCUCAAUUUUUCCCAAGAAAACCUCCCUCUCACCCUCUUCUUCUUAGCAGCUAUUUAUAAGAGAGAUUUGGGGGGAAAAUAGCUAGGGUUUUCGAACUUCAAAAAGGGGAUUUGAGUUGAAAUUUUGAGAAGUUUUUCAAAUCCACAGUAAAACAAAACAAUUCAAAGCUUUUUGCUUCAGAAUCAGUAGAAAAGGAAAGGAAAGGAGCCGUUUGGCUUUGUUGGUCAAAGAAACCAAUUGAUUUUUACCCAAAUCAGUGAAUCAUGGUCUGCCUCUUCCGAAAGCAUCUGUUUUUGAGCCACAAAUGGCUGUACCGAAGCGGUAAGAUGGUAAAUGGGAGUGAUUUGAGGUCUUGCCAUUGUUGACCAUUCCUGGGACACCGUUUAAUGCUGACGUUGAAACAGGUUUUGGUUGUUGGUGUUGUUAAAGCGUUGAAACUGUCACGGCGUUUGUGCGUAUUGUACGCGUAUUUGUUUUGGUCGUGUUUUUGCUGUUUGUUACGCCGUUUGGCGUUGGUUUUGGAGAAGAGGUAUUAAAAAAUAGGGAUAGGCCGGAUAUUGCUGUUGGACUUGGGCUUGGGCGGCUGGUAAGAGCUGUUGGCCCGAACAGAUUGGACCUGUGUUGUUAUUUUUAAUGCUGAAGGGAG
rnacentral:lncRNA from 1 species